rfam:Lachnospiraceae bacterium JC7 contig00007, whole genome shotgun sequence.
UGACAUAAGUGUCAUAAGUCUAUCUCCCACUUGUGCUUGCACAAAAGUGGGAGAUAGACUUCAUGACACGCCCCACAUGGAGCACGUAAGGACGCUUUAGCGGCCUGGGAGUGCGGAAUGUGGGAGAAUCGUGGGAUCGCCCUGCGCGAAACGAUUCGAUGGCA